GCGAGUCGAGAGGGUUCAAACCCUCGGCGGAUUGCUCAGUAACACGUGCAUUACCUGACCUGUGGCGAAGGAUACCCCCGGGAAACUGGGGAUAAUACUCCAUACGUUACAAAAUCUGGAAUGAUUUGUAGCGAAAAGUUCCGGCGCCACAGGAUGGAUCUGCGGCCAAUUAGGUAGUAGUUGGGGUAGAGGCCCAACUAGCCUGUCAUCGGUACGGGUGGGGGAAGCAAGAGCCCGGAGAUGGAAUCUGAAACACGAUUCCAGGCCCUACGGGGCGCAGCAGGCGCAAAAACUUUACAAUGCAGGAAACUGUGAUAAGGGAACCCCGAGUGCCCGUACACGCGGGCUGUCUGGUUGUUUAAAAUGCACCCAAAGAAAGGGCCGGGAAAGACCGGUGCCAGCCGCCGCGGUAAUACCGGCGGCUCGGGGGGUGACCUUUUUUAUUGGGCUUAAAGCGUUCGUAGCUGGACUGUUAAUUCUCUUGGAAAAUCCGCCGGCUCAACCGGCGGGCGUCUAAAAAAUACUGGCAUUCUUGGGACCGGAAGAGGUAAAAGGUACUCCGGGGGUAGGAGUGAAAUCCUGUAAUCCCCGGGGGACCACCGGUGGCGAAGGCUUCUUACCAAAACGCCUCCAACAGUGAGGAACGAAAGCUGGGGGAGCGAACCGAAUUAAAUACCCGGGUAGCCCCAGCCGUAAACAAUGCGCGUUAGGUGUACCGCCAACCACGGGUUGCCGGAUUGCCGAAGGAAAACC
rnacentral:rRNA from 1 species